GUGAGGAAUAUUGGUCAAUGGGCGAAAGCCUGAACCAGCCAUGUCGCGUGAAGGAUGAAGGUCCUAUGGAUUGUAAACUUCUUUUGCAGGAGGGUAAAGUGAGCUACGUGUAGUUCAUUGCAAGUACCCUGCGAAUAAGCAUCGGCUAACUCCGUGCCAGCAGCCGCGGUAAUACGGAGGAUGCGAGCGUUAUCCGGAUUUGUUGGGUUUAAAGGGUGCGUAGGCGGACUAAUUAGUCAGCGGUGAAAUUUUGCGGCUCAACCGUAAAACUGCCGUUGAAACUGUUAGUCUUGAGUGCGGUAGAGGUAGACGGAAUGUGUGGUGUAGCGGUGAAAUGCUUAGAUAUCACACAGAACACCGAUUGCGUAGGCAGCUUACUGGAGCGCAACUGACGCUGAGGCACGAAAGCGUGGGGAUCGAACAGGAUUAGAAACCCUGGUAGUCC
rnacentral:rRNA from 1 species